UGCCAUCUAUAUAGGAAUAUAAGUCUUGGCCCCUCAAGUAAGCAGAGGUUUGAACCUUCCAUAGAAGGUAGUUUUCUGUGGUUAAUUUGGUAGAGAUAAGAUGAGAAAAGGAGGAGGUUGGUAAGUGAGGGGAAGGAGGAGGGUUGGAUGAAGAGGACAGGGCCAUGGAUCACUGUGGACAAUUUGUCAAAUGGCUCUGGAUACCAUGUGAAAUGAAAAGAAUACGUAAGAGAAUAAAGUUUUCCACAAUAUGAAUGAUCAUUUACAGUGUCUAUAUAUAGAGCUUUACAAGGAAUAAAAAAAGGAAUAUUUGCUUAACAAACUCACAGUAAGGAAUAACAAUUACAGCAGAGAAUAACAACCAAUUGUUCCUACAAUUCAUUCUAGAAGAAAAAGGAAUAAAUCUAGUGCUACGUAACACCUUGCAUUUGCUGUGAGCAUGAUUUGGAAUCUGUGAUAU
rnacentral:lncRNA from 1 species